rnacentral:rRNA from 1 species
AGAUUGAACGCUGGCGGCAGGCCUAACACAUGCAAGUCGAGCGGCAGCGGGAAGUAGCUUGCUACUUUGCCGGCGAGCGGCGGACGGGUGAGUAAUGUCUGGGAAACUGCCUGAUGGAGGGGGAUAACUACUGGAAACGGUAGCUAAUACCGCAUAACGUCUUCGGACCAAAGUGGGGGACCUUCGGGCCUCACGCCAUCGGAUGUGCCCAGAUGGGAUUAGCUAGUAGGUGGGGUAAUGGCUCACCUAGGCGACGAUCCCUAGCUGGUCUGAGAGGAUGACCAGCCACACUGGAACUGAGACACGGUCCAGACUCCUACGGGAGGCAGCAGUGGGGAAUAUUGCACAAUGGGCGCAAGCCUGAUGCAGCCAUGCCGCGUGUGUGAAGAAGGCCUUCGGGUUGUAAAGCACUUUCAGCGAGGAGGAAGGCCAAUAACUUAAUACGUUGUUGGAUUGACGUUACUCGCAGAAGAAGCACCGGCUAACUCCGUGCCAGCAGCCGCGGUAAUACGGAGGGUGCAAGCGUUAAUCG